rnacentral:misc_RNA from 1 species
UCCUGGUUAACCCAGGCAGUCUCAUUAGAGUUCCCACCUUAAAUGUUGGCAACUAAUGAUAAGGGUUGCGCUCGUUGCGGGACUUAACCCAACACCUCACGGCACGAGCUGACGACAGCCAUGCAGCACCUGUGCACAGACCCUCGCGGGAAACGAAAUCUCUCUCGUCGUCCUGUGCAUGUCAAACCUGGGUAAGGUUCUUCGCGUUGCAUCGAAUUAAACCACAUGCUCCACUGCUUGUGCGGGUCCCCGUCAAUUCUUUUGAGUUUCAGCCUUGCGACUGUACUCCCCAGGCGGUAUACUUAUCGCGUUUGCUUCGGCACAGUCAGGGUUGAGUCCGACUACACCAAGUAUACAUCGUUUACAGCAAGGACUAC